UUAUCGGGGUCCGUUAUUGCUGCCGCGUCCUGAGUUUCAGGUUCUCUUUACUCUCCCAUUCUGGUGGCUAAAAUUGAAGCUUCAUACCACCAACAACUCGUCCUUUACAUUCUCCCACCAAUAUCGUCCGCACCUUACUCUAUUAAUUAUCGUCACAGGUAUGGUUUGACUGUAAUAGUUACACAUCCGACCGGAUCUGCAUAUUUAUGUAACUGCACUUGUUCGGCCCGUUUCCGAUCACUCUGUUUUCCUUAUUCUAGAUAUGCAAUCGCCAGUCAGUCAAUCCAUUCCUUCUGCCUCACUGGCUGAUUUGCCGCGACGCCUUUUUGACCUCAAUUGUUAUCCUUCUCAUCCAGUUCGUAUCAAUUCAUACUCAAGGCCACGAUACCUCCUUGAUGUUUUAAAUGUCUUGGAUGGGAUGCCUGAGCUCCAAGAGUUAUUGGCAUCUCCGCUUGGAUAUCUUUUCUUGAUUCAUGUACGUCGAAUUGCAAACCCUUAACCUAAUUCGCUGUUCACUUU